rnacentral:tRNA from 1 species
CCUGGUGGCUCAGACGGUAAAGCGUCUGCCUAUAAUGCAGGAGACCCAGGUUCGAUCCCUGGGUCAGGA